rnacentral:rRNA from 2 species
CCUGUGACAUACCUAUAACGUUGCCUCGGCGGGAACAGACGGCCCCGUAACACGGGCCGCCCCCGCCAGAGGACCCCCUAACUCUGUUUCUAUAAUGUUUCUUCUGAGUAAACAAGCAAAUAAAUUAAAACUUUCAACAACGGAUCUCUUGGCUCUGGCAUCGAUGAAGAACGCAGCGAAAUGCGAUAAGUAAUGUGAAUUGCAGAAUUCAGUGAAUCAUCGAAUCUUUGAACGCACAUUGCGCCCGCCAGUAUUCUGGCGGGCAUGCCUGUUCGAGCGUCAUUACAACCCUCAGGCCCCCGGGCCUGGCGUUGGGGAUCGGCGGAAGCCCCCUGCGGGCACAACGCCGUCCCCCAAAUACAGUGGCGGUCCCGCCGCAGCUUCCAUUGCGUAGUAGCUAACACCUCGCAACUGGAGAGCGGCGCGGCCACGCCGUAAAACACCCAACUUCUGAAUGUUGACCUCGAAUCAGGUAGGAAUACCCGCUGAACUUAAGCAUAUCAAUAAGCGGAGGAA